rnacentral:lncRNA from 1 species
AGAAUUAUAUCAUGUUGUUCCAAAGGGUUCGGGAAGUAAAGAUUUAACUAAACACGUAUGGAAAGAAAUUGAUUUGGAUUUGUGGUAGUGCAUAAUAAGGUACAGAUUCCGUACUUCCCUCCUUUGAUUGUUUUAUUCUUUAUAGCUAAUGAUAUCUUGUUAUGUAAACAUAUGAUUAUGUUUUCAACCAGUCUUCCAUUUACUUAGAUAUAUCAUACAAAUUAUUCUAUGUUGAAUUUAUAAAUCGUAUUUGUUAAUUACUUGUCUAAAAAUUGAAUUGUGUAGUAAAACAGGUAUAUUAUUCAUUGUUUAUCCGAAUUGUACGAUUCUGUAAUUUUGACAUCCG